UACCAGCACCCCGAGUGGUCGGGACGUUUUAUUGGGCCUAAAGCAUCCGUAGCCGGUUCUACAAGUCUUCCGUUAAAUCCACCUGCUUAAACAGAUGGGCUGCGGAAGAUACUAUGGAGCUAGGAGGCGGGAGAGGCAAGCGGUACUCGAUGGGUAGGGGUAAAAUCCGUUGAUCCAUUGAAGACCACCAGUGGCGAAGGCGGCUUGCCAGAACGCGCUCGACGGUGAGGGAUGAAAGCUGGGGGAGCAAAGCCGG
rnacentral:rRNA from 1 species